UACGUAGGGGGCAAGCGUUGUCCGGAUUUAUUGGGCGUAAAGAGCUCGUAGGCGGUUCCGUAAGUCGUGAAGUCAAAUCUCUGGGCUCAACCCAGAAUCGCUUCCGAUACUGCGGUGACUGGAGUCCGGUAGGGGAGUGGAAUUCCCGGUGUAGCGGUGAAAUGCGCAGAUAUCGGGAGGAACACCAAUGGCGAAGGCAGCUCGCUGGGACGGUACUGACGCUGAGACGCGAAAGCGUGGGGAGCAAACAGG
rnacentral:rRNA from 1 species